rnacentral:rRNA from 1 species
CCUACGGGAGGCAGCAGUGAGGAAUAUUGGUCAAUGGGCGAGAGCCUGAACCAGCCAAGUCGCGUGAGGGAGUACUGCCCUAUGGGUUGUAAACCUCUUUUGUCGGGGAGCAAAAGCCGGACGUGUCCGGCUGUGAGAGUACCCGAAGAAAAAGCAUCGGCUAACUCCGUGCCAGCAGCCGCGGUACUACGGAGGAUGCGAGCGUUAUCCGGAUUUAUUGGGUUUAAAGGGUGCGCAGGCGGAUUUUUAAGUCAGCGGUAAAAUCGUGGGGCUCAACCCCAUCCAGCCGUUGAAACUGGGGAUCUAGAGUGUGCGAGAGGUAGGCGGAAUGCGUGGUGUAGCGGUGAAAUGCAUAGAUAUCACGCAGAACCCCGAUUGCGAAGGCAGCAUACCGGUGCACAACUGACGCUCAGGCACGAAAGCGUGGGUAUCGAACAGGAUUAGAUACCCGAGUAGUC